GCUUCCGCAUCCAUGCCUCUUCCGUCUCGUCUCUAGCCUCUCCGGUGCGCCCUCGGAGCGGUUUGUUCACGCCGGCGAACUCCUCGAGCCGCCGCUCCCCUUCCCCCGGCGCGGGUCCGCCUCUGCGGGUUCUUCAGCGCCGCAACCGAUCCUGGGUUUCCCGCGCAGCAGCCGCCGGCGACGACCCCCUGCCUGGCCCGCGCCGUCUUCGGCUUCGCGCGCGGCGGCUAAUUCUGCAAUACGCCUCGCAUUGAUCUCGGGGAGGAGCCACUGGCGGCCCACUGGAGAAGUGGAGAUGGUGUUGACCAACUAGGGUGAGUCGUCUUCUGGUGAUGCUGAAGUCUCUGUCUCCAAGCAUGGAAAAUCAACAGUCAAGGUUCUUUGAUAGGUGUACCUACCAGUCUACUAGGCUGCAGGAGCAGAGUGGGCAAUUGGACAACACCCUGGAUUAUUCAUUGCUAGCAAACAAGUAGAACGGAAGAAAUAUAUGACAGCAGUACACGGUUUGAUCGACUUGUUGUUAGUGCAGUUUAUUAAUAUAUAAAUAAAUAGUAGGACUAAUUCGUCUAUCUGCUGACAACCUCGUUGGACACGUAUGGCCUGAAAAGU